rnacentral:rRNA from 1 species
UCGAGGAUCUUUGGCAAUGGGCGCAAGCCUGACCAAGCGACGCCGCGUGUGCGAUGAAGGCCUUCGGGUUGUAAAGCACUGUCGAGGGGGAGUAAGCCGAAAGGUUGAACUAUCCCUGGAGGAAGCACGGGCUAAGUUCGUGCCAGCAGCCGCGGUAAGACGAACCGUGCGAACGUUGUUCGGAAUCACUGGGCUUAAAGGGCGCGUAGGCGGGUGUGCAAGUCUGUGGUGAAAGCCCCCAGCUUAACUGGGGAAGUGCCGUGGAUACUGCACAUCUUGAGGAGGGUAGGGGCAUCUGGAACGGUCGGUGGAGCGGUGAAAUGCGUUGAUAUCGACCGGAACUCCGGUGGCGAAGGCGAGGUGCUGGACCCUUUCUGACGCUGAGGCGCGAAAGCCAGGGGAGCAAACGGGAUUAGAUACCCCCGUAGUCC